CUUUAUCUGGUGGAAGGGUAGACACGUUUGACUUAAAAUCAAAUGCAAUAGCAUACUGGUUCAAAUCCAGUGAUAAAGA
rnacentral:tRNA from 1 species